CUCAUUUUGUGGUUCAUAAACAUAAUGAUUGGGUGUUCACGUUGUUGUGUGAGAUGUGCUUCCCUUAGACCUUGUUAUGACAUUGGCAUAGUACCCAUCUGGUG
rnacentral:snoRNA from 1 species